rnacentral:lncRNA from 1 species
AGCCGAAAGGUCCUCGUUCUCUCUUGUCCCUACUCCACGACUUUGAUUGCCAGUGGUAGGAAAUCGAGCACUCGCUGCCAGACAUCUGCUCUCAUAUUGACUUGGAAUAUCACUGGUACAAAAGUGGGCACUUAACCGCAAACAUAGUUUUCCUUCCGAUUACUGGAUCGAGAAUUGGAAGUUGGAACGGUAGCUUGAAAUUUACUUGGCCCC